rnacentral:rRNA from 1 species
AUUGAACGCUGGCGGCAUGCCUUACACAUGCAAGUCGAACGGUAACAGGUCUUCGGAUGCUGACGAGUGGCGAACGGGUGAGUAAUACAUCGGAACGUGCCCGAGAGUGGGGGAUAACGAGGCGAAAGCUUUGCUAAUACCGCAUACGAUCUCAGGAUGAAAGCAGGGGACCGCAAGGCCUUGCGCUCACGGAGCGGCCGAUGGCAGAUUAGGUAGUUGGUGGGAUAAAAGCUUACCAAGCCGACGAUCUGUAGCUGGUCUGAGAGGACGACCAGCCACACUGGGACGAAGACACGGCCAGACUCCUACGGGAGGCAGCAGUGGGGAAUUUUGGACAAUGGGCGCAAGCCUGAUCCAGCCAUGCCGCGUGCAGGAUGAAGGCCUUCGGGUUGUAAACUGCUUUUGUACGGAACGAAAAGACUCUGGUUAAUACCUGGGGUCCAUGACGGUACCGUAAGAAUAAGCACCGGCUAACUACGUGCCAGCCGCCGCAGUAACAC